AAGAAGCUGUGUCCCAGCAUCCCCAAGUUUUGGAGACUUCAACCUUAAUAGGUAGGUGAACUUGUUGGUACAAAGAAACACCAGCAAAUGCAAAUGGUUGAAAUCCUAACCGGAACUCUCUACUAUUCUCUGAAUGCAACGAGUCCAGACGAAGUAAAGAUGUCUUUUCUCAGUAGCAGUCUUUUGGAGAUGGUACUUUCUCUAUCAACACAAACUACAGAUAUUCCUCAGAUCAGUAGUCUUCUUCAACUAGUAUAUCUAUCCUACAAGUCGAAGAACACACAACCUCCGUAUCAACCAAUAUCCAUUCACGUCUUUGCUGCACACAUGGGAGGUGCUUCGAGAAGAAUCUGAGUGCAGAGUAGUAUAACAAGCCAAGGUCAGGAAGCUGCAGCUCAUUGUGUUGCUGUUCAAACCGUUUGAAGCGGGCAUGGAAUGGGCAGCUGGCACCAAAUUGAAGGGUUCUUUUACUUUCCUGGAAGCAUCUCCUAUUGUACUAUAAUAUUUCAAUACCAAGUUCUAGUUGUAUAGCCUUAGAGGCUUGCUUUUGUUCCACAGUCGCUAUCAUUAUAGAAGUGGCGCUAUACAGAAGCUUCUGCUACAUGGCUGCUGGAGUCUCAGUUUACUAUAUUAGUAUAAGCAGACACUAGUGUGAUGUUCUGGUUACUGAUAUAGAAUCUUUGAACUCCAUCCUUAAUGGAGUAGUAGUUCCUAGUUACAGUCAUUUCGAAAAUGUACGAUUAUUUUUGUAUUUUGAAGGUCUUAAAACUAUCAAUGACCUACCUUCAGUCUGAAACAUCCUACCCUUUUACCCCCAAAGAUUGUAUCCUUGUUAAUAUUGUUUCGAUUAUCAUUGUAUCCUUGUGAAUGUUGUUUA